GCUUUGCCCGUUCUGGGGUUCUGUGCUACAGUUACACCCACAAUUUUGAUCGGACAUCGUAUAAAAUGGACCAGUUACAAGAGGAUCUAUUUUUCCGGUACUGAAAUGAAUCCCACAUCGAGAAACUGAUCGCCAACAUGAUCAGUUUUCUCACUCCACCUGCCUACUUCGUACAGGUGAAGUUCAUGACGACGCUGAUACUAUUAUAUUAUUUAGUGAUCUGUGAUCGAGAAGGAGGUGACUAGACUGCUGGCCUGGACGGUGCCGGGCCAUGGGCACAUUGUGUCAUAACUUCAUCACUGCAACAGCCACCUUAUUCCUGAUUGUCUAUGUGGUGAACCUCCA